UAUCAUAAUGGAUGUUGUUUUUGUCUUAUAAUAACUGUGACUAUCCCACCCAUGACUAUCUAUUUUGCGAAGUUUAGAAGCAAGGUAGAUCGGAGGAGAACAUAGUAAACUGUUAAAAUUGCUAUAUGCUAUGCUGUAUUUGAUAACUACGUUGCGAGAUUGUGUACAGUGUUUUAAUAUAAUCUCUCUCUAGUCUCUACACGUAUUUGUUUUUGCAACUUCGGAUCGACUUUCGAUCUAGUUAUUUGCUGUUAACUGCUAUUGUUGCCAGAACGUGUUAUGAUUGUGUCAGGUAUAUACAGUAUUUAUGCUGCAUUUUGGAUAAGUGUCAUUAAAGAGGGAAAAAUAAUGAAGAGGAAGAAGGCAGACAUAGCGUCCUUCUUCAGGGCAAGUGGAAAGAAGUCAGCUAAGGCAAAGAAUGAGGGUGAGAUGGAGAAAAAACAGGCAGAGAGCGAGGAUGAGGAGCCCCCAGAGAGCAGCAACUUAAAUGGACCUCCAGGUAUACAGUAUAGAGACUCACAUAUAGUACAGCUUGGUAUGAGGUUAUCUUAUUUACAAUUGGCUUAAAGUUUGUCUAUUCAUAUACAGGUCAGGUUGAAAGUGCAUUGUAAAACAUAUCAGUUCGUUUUUUCAGUACAUUAAAGUAUGGCAUAUUUGUAUUUGCUACCCAGAGACACUUUCACUAAUAUUAUACUUUAGCUUAGUGUGUUUGUUAAACACUAUAUAGCAUGCAUUAGAAAACCUUUAGGAAAAUUACCUGUACACCUUAUUGUAAUUAUUUUUGAUGUUUCUGAAAGAUUGAUCAAGAGCAGGACAGAAGAGUCCUCCCUGAGGAGUGGCCCCAGUGGAUCCCCAGAUUCCCACAGAAGAUUCAGACAGCGAGAGAGAGGAGCCUCCAACAACGAGUGGCGGCCCAAGGUACCACCAGGUAUACUCACUCUUUCACACAUGCUGGACACUUUAAUUCCACUUCAGUUUUGCCCAAUCUGAUACAGUGGCCUGAUAAUUCAUAAACAGGUAUGAGUCAUACCACUCACCGUCCUCAACUGGAGUAGAGUUGGAUGAAUGGCCUCAAAUCUAUAACGUUUUAAGCAGAUUAUAGUGUUCAGAUAAUCCAUUAGAUGUAACAUGGGAUAGUACACUCCAAUGUAUGAGUUUAUCUUGAUUGUUAUUAAUCUCUGUUGUAAUUUAAUAAUUGAAUAUGCCUUUUUUUCCAUUUUCAAACGGACAUUUCCAAAUCAAGAACCGAUAGAUCUUUAAGGACAGUCAUUGAAGUGUUCAGUUUUAAUGAGAUGUCACUGUUUGGAUUCUCUGUCUGAUAUGUGUAAAUGUGGCUCAAACUUGAAUCUAAUCUUGCAGAGUCCGCCUAAUACCCAUUGUGAAUAUGAU